AAGCCACUACGGCUUCUCCAAAGAAACUAGCUCUGACCGCGCCGCCGCCUACGCCGACUUCCCUCAGGCCGGGCUGGGCCGCUGACUUCCCUGUGGCCAGGCCGGGCUGGCUGGAGCCCGCUGCCACCGCCGCUGCCUCCGACUUCUCGAGGGCCCGGAGGCCUUCUAUAGGGGAACUCACGCUGACAGGCACUCGCCUCAAGGCUGAAGCACCACACCCUCUUAAAGGGGCCGCAGCUCAGCCUGGCUAGAAUAGCUUCGGGUUGGAUGAGAGCAAGUUUUAGGUUAGCCAAUCAGACCAUAGAAAUAAAGCCCAGUUAGAGUAGACCUUGAAGUUCGCUCGCAUCCAAUCCGAACAUGUAGUCUAGGAACCCCGAAUAUAAAGGAUGCCAAGCAGGAGUCUCGCCAUUUCAGACAUGGGCCCACCUGCUCCGAGCUGGCUUCGAGGAGAAAUGGGAGUAGCCGACCACCGCCCAUGCUGGAGGCUAGAGUCUGUCUUAUGGGCUCUGCUCGCCUCGCUGUUGCAGUUGUUGGCACUGACGGAGACUACAGGGCAGCUAGAAAGCUUCUUAAACAUGCUAAGUUCACUCCUAUUGACAACUGAAUGCAACGUCGGAUCCUGGAUUAGAUCUUAGCCCAGAAUAGGUCUUCAGUGGAAGAACUGGCAAAAUUUGAAUAAGCUGGGAAAAUGGCAAUGAAUUAAUAUGACGGUGAAGUGAUGACUAAAAUUCUACAUUGCUCCGAAAGCAAGUAAGAAAAUCAGUGGUCAUAGAGAAGUU